GCGGUGAAAUGCGUAGAUAUCGGGAAGAACACCCGUGGCGAAGGCGGCUCUCUGGGACGGUACUGACGCUGAGACGCGAAAGCGUGGGGAGCGAACAGGAUUAGAUACCCUGGUAGUCCACGCCGUAAACGAUGGGUGCUAGGUGUGGGGGGUGUCGACUCCCCCCGUGCCGAAGCUAACGCAUUAAGCACCCCGCCUGGGGAGUACGGCCGCAAGGCUAAAACUCAAAUGAAUUGACGG
rnacentral:rRNA from 1 species